rnacentral:rRNA from 1 species
GUGUCAGCCGCCGCGGUAAUACGUAGGGGGCAAGCGUUAUCCGGAAUUAUUGGGCGUAAAGCGCGCGCAGGUGGCUUCUUAAGUUUGAUGUGAAAUCCCACGGCUCAACUUUGGGGGGGCAUUGGAUACUGGAGGACUUGAGUGCAGAAGAGGAAAGCGGAAUUCCUGGUGUAGCGGUGAAAUGCGUAGAAAUAUGGAGGAACACCAGUGGCGAAGGCGCCUUUCUGGUCUGUAACUGACACUGAGGCGCGAAAGCGUGGGGAGCAAACAGGAUUAGAUACCCUGGUAGUCCACGCGGUAAACGAUGAAUGCUAGGUGUAGGAG